UCAUGGCUCACCAUAAUUUACUCAAAUGGGCAGCUUUCCUGUUGUCCACAUUACAUGACCUUUUCAACUGUGUUCUGUAGAAUCUCUGUGCAGGAUUUCCUCCUGGGAUGUGAUGGUUUAUUUCUGGAUUUUAGUCAUGGUAUCUUCACAUGUUCCCACGUGCAAAAUUGACCCUAUCACUCUGCAUCCUUGUUGGAUGCCUUCAGUGAUUUACUAGGUGGGCCCACAAUGUCCCUUUCAUUUCUCUCUAAAUGCAUCUCUCUGCCAACUUACUCAAGGUAGGGAGUAAAGAAGAUGCAGGAGAUGAUUCCUGGGCUGCCCUGAGUCCUCUGACCUGGGAGGAUGCAUUUAAUACCCAGGAAGUGGAUCUGACAAAAUUCGAUUGGUGGUGUUAGCACAGUUUAUAACAUCUGGAAAACACUGCAUUCAAAGGGAGAUAUUUUUUAAGAGAAGAGAAAAUGUCAUUUGAGGCCAAAGUAACCUACUGCCCAAUGUGGUGAUAUUCAGAUCCUGUCUAUUUAGAAUAUAAGGAAAAUAUGUACCCCAUCCUAGGAUAUCUCACAAAUUUAUUAAUUCAUACAUUCAUGGAUGAUAAUGUGCCCUGAACAGUGGUAAGUGCCUGAGUGCCCAGCUCUUUCAAUGGCAUGGUCAAUAAAGUCCUGUUAAUAUCUGCCGUUUAUAGUAUAGUCUUCAAUAUUUACUCUACAUAUAUUGAGGACCAAUCAGAUCUUGUACUUCCUGCUUCAACCAUCAAACAGAAUUUGGCUAUCUCAAGAGGAAUAUGGAAAUCUAUUCUAUUUAACUGUAAUAGUGUUUCUUCUGUUGUUCUUUAUUCCUUAUAGAUGUUUCUGGACUGUUUCGAUUAUUAAUUAUUUUGAUAAAAGGGAUUUUAAACUUUUAAAGACAUUGGAAGUUGGCUGGGCGAGUUGGCUCACGCCUGUAAUCCCAGCAUUUUGGGAGGCCAAGGCAGGUGGAUUACGAGGUCAGGAGUUUGAGACCAGCCUGGCCCAGAUGGUGAAACCCCAUCUCUACUAAAAAUACAAAAAUUAGCUGGGCACAGUGGCAUGCGCCUGUAAUCCCAGCUACUCGGGAGGCUGAGGCAGGAGAAUCGCUGGAACCCGGGAGGCAGAGGUUGCAGUGAGCUGAUAUCACGCCACUGCACUCUAGCCUGGGCGACAGAGCAAGACUCCGUCUAAAAAAAAAAAAAAAAAAAAAGUGAAAUUAUAAUAACUGAAGAACUAAAGUAAUGCAGAUUUAUGUCCUAGCCUAUUAUACUGGAUGAAAACAGAACUUUAAAAAUAUUCAUCUCAAUUUGCUAAAUAAUACAUGUAAUUGGGCCUGUUUGUGUAUUAUAUUAUAUAUAUAUAUAUAUAUAUAUAUAUAUAUAUAUAAAUGAGUGUAUUUAUCAUAUAUAUAUAAAUAUAUAUAUUUGGUAGAUCUUAUUCCUGCUUCUACUUAAAUAUGUGACCCGAUAAUAGUGAGUUACCCCUUGUGAACCUUAACUGGGGCAUCUGCAACAUGGGCAUAUUGAUACAUACCUGGCUGAACUGUUGUGGGAAGAAAAUGUAUAAUGCUUAAACCUAUGUGAAGUGUCUAACAUGUAAUGCUACAACAAAUAUAUGUAUUGGCUUUCCCUGUGUUUUCUCUUCCACAAAAGACGUAGUUUACAUGAACAUCUCCUAGAGGUCAAUUAGAGUUGAAGCAGCAGGAAAUAAAAUGUUUACAUAUUUCUAUGAGAGA
rnacentral:lncRNA from 10 species